rfam:Triticum aestivum genome assembly, contig: Triticum_aestivum_CS42_TGACv1_scaffold_163047_2DL
CAACUACUCCCUUUGUCCCAAAUUUCUUGUCUUAGAUUUGUCUAGAUACGGAUGUAUCUAAUACUAAAAUGUGACUUGAUACAUCUGUAUCUAGACAAAUCUAAGACAAGAAUUUUGGGAUGGAGGGAGUACUUU